rnacentral:misc_RNA from 1 species
AAAAUGCGAUAAGUAAUGUGAAUUGCAGAAUUCAGUGAAUCAUCGAAUCUUUGAACGCACAUUGCGCCCGCCAGUAUUCUGGCGGGCAUGCCUGUUCGAGCGUCAUUUCAACCCUCAAGCCCCCGGGUUUGGUGUUGGGGAUCGGGCUGCGGUUCUACCGCGUCCCGCCCCCGAAAUCUAGUGGCGGUCUCGCUGCAGCCUCCAUUGCGUAGUAGCUAACACCUCGCAACUGGAACGCGGCGCGGCCAAGCCGUUAAACCCCCAACUUCUGAAUGUUGACCUCGGAUCAGGUAGGAAUACCCGCUGAACUUAAGC